CAGAGCGUAGCUUAAACUAAAGCGACUAGUUUACACCUAGAAGAUCUCAUUUAAACUGACCGCUCUGA
rnacentral:tRNA from 1 species